AGUGAACGCUGGCGGUAUGCCUAACACAUGCAAGUCGAACGGCAGCACAGUAAGAGCUUGCUCUUACGGGUGGCGAGUGGCGGACGGGUGAGGAAUACAUCGGAAUCUACUUUUUCGUGGGUGAUAACGUAGGGAAACUUACGCUAAUACCGCAUACGACCUACGGGUGAAAGCAGUGGAUCUUCGCACCUUGCGCGAUUGAAUGAGCCGAUGUCGGAUUAGCUAGUUGGCGGGGUAAAGGCCCACCAAGGCGACGAUCCGUAGCUGGUCUGAGAGGAUGAUCAGCCACACUGGAACUGAGACACGGUCCAGACUCCUACGGGAGGCAGCAGUGGGGAAUAUUGGACAAUGGGCGCAAGCCUGAUCCAGCCAUACCGCGUGGGUGAAGAAGGCCUUCGGGUUGUAAAGCCCUUUUGUUGGGAAAGAAAAGCAGCAGGUUAAUACCCCGCUGUUCUGACGGUACCAAAAGAAUAAGCACCGGCUAACUUCGUG
rnacentral:rRNA from 1 species